rnacentral:rRNA from 1 species
GAUGAACGCUGGCGGUAUGCUUAACACAUGCAAGUCGAACGGACUCUUCGGAGUUAGUGGCGGACGGGUGAGUAACGCGUGAGAAUCUGGCUUUGGGUUCGGGACAACUACUGGAAACGGUGGCUAAUACCGGAUGUGCCGAGAGGUAAAAGAGAAAUUGCCUGAAGAUGAGCUCGCGUCUGAUUAGCUAGUUGGUGAGGUAAAGGCUCACCAAGGCAGCGAUCAGUAGCUGGUCUGAGAGGAUGACCAGCCACACUGGGACUGAGACACGGCCCAGACGCCUACGGGAGGCAGCAGUGGGGAAUUUUCCGCAAUGGGCGAAAGACUGACGGAGCAAUACCGCGUGAGGGAAGAAGGCUCUUGGGUUGUAAACCUCUUUUCUUAGGGAAGAACAAAAUGACGGUACCUAAGGAAUCAGCAUCGGCUAACUCCGUG